rnacentral:rRNA from 1 species
AUUGAACGCUGGCGGCAGGCCUAACACAUGCAAGUCGAGCGAGCGGCGGACGGGUGAGUAAUGUCUGGGAAUCUGCCUGAUGGAGGGGGAUAACUACUGGAAACGGUAGCUAAUACCGCAUACCAUCAGAUGUGCCCAUAUGGGAUUAGCUAGUAGGUGGGGUAACGGCUCACCUAGGCGACGAUCCCUAGCUGGUCUGAGAGGAUGACCAGCCACACUGGAACUGAGACACGGCCCAGACUCCUACGGGAGGCAGCAGUGGGGAAUAUUGCACAAUGGGCGCAAGCCUGAUGCAGCCAUGCCGCGUGUAUGAAGAAGGCCUUCGGGUUGUAAAGCACUUUCAGCGGGGAGGCGUUACCCGCAGAAGAAGCACCGGCUAACUCCGUGCCAGCAGCCGCGGUAAUUC